GACGAACGCUGGCGGCGUGCUUAACACAUGCAAGUCGAACGGUGAAGCGAGUGCUUGCACUCGUGGAUCAGUGGCGAACGGGUGAGUAACACGUGAGUAACCUGCCCAUCACUCUGGGAUAAGCGCUGGUAACGGUGUCUAAUACUGGAUACGACCAACCCUUGCAUGGGGUGUUUGUGGAAAGAUUUAUCGGUGAUGGAUGGACUCGCGGCCUAUCAGCUUGUUGGCGGGGUAAUGGCCCACCAAGGCGACGACGGGUCGCCGGCCUGAGAGGGUGACCGGCCACACUGGGACAGAGACGCGGACCAGACUCCUACGGGAAGCAGCAGUGGGGAAUAUGGCACAAUGGGCGAAAGCAUGAUGCAGCGACGCCGCGUGAGGGAUGACGGCAUUCGGGUAGUAAACCUCUUUCAGCAGGAAAGAAGCGAAAGUGAAGGUACCUGCAGAAGAAGCACCGGCUAAAUACGU
rnacentral:rRNA from 1 species